rnacentral:rRNA from 1 species
ACAUACGAUCACAGGUGGUAGAAACCUCGGGAUCCCGUCCGCUCUCUCAUAUAUAAGCUACCAACCGGCAGAUUAGUAGUUGGGUCGGUGACGACCAGCGAACACCGGCUGUUGUAUGUU